UACAGAGGUCCCAAGCGUUGUUCGGAUUUACUGGGCGUAAAGGGUGCGUAGGUGGUAGGGUAAGUUUAAGGUGAAAUCUCCGGGCCUAACCCGGAAAAUGCCUCGAAUACUAUCUUGCUAGAGGAUUGGAUGAGGGACUGGAAUUCUCGGUGUAGCAGUGAAAUGCGUAGAUAUCGAGAGGAACACCAGUGGCGAAAGCGAGUCCCUGGACAACUCCUGACACUGAGGCACGAAAGCUAGGGGAGCAAACGGG
rnacentral:rRNA from 1 species